rnacentral:piRNA from 1 species
UACUCUGGCUUCUCUGGGUUAUAGUGCA